UUGACAUGUUUACGACCUCGACAACAAACAAUCGACGUUCAUCUCUGGAUGAGUGUAAUCAAUACAAAAAAUACUAAUUUAGUUCUCACCUGGAUUACGCGUCGUCGCUAUUUAUAGAAUACCGGCGCUCGAACACAAAACAUCAAUCUAAAAACACUCACAUACGAGUUACUACUAACACAAUUGCAACGACACGAAGUGAAUGCCGAACAGUGCCGAACCCGAACGAAAACAAACGACGAUGCUCGAUUGGUGAUUAUUUAUUCUAAAAAUGUAAAACAUGAAAGAAAAUUAAUUAUUUCGAUCAUAAUCGAUCGUUGAGUGGAAUUGUAAGUUCCGUAUAACUUUUUGUGCAAUAACACUUGCUGUAAAGCGAGAGGUAGUUUUCUAUGCGGAAUCUUUUCGCGAUUUUGUUCUUUGGCAUUAAUCGUAUGGCGGCUGAAGUUCCUUCGUGUCUAUGGAUGAAUGUGCAUGUUCGAAUUUUCUGUAAUACAAUAUAACAAUAUGUAAGGUAGUAAACAAAAACUUUAUUCAAUAUACCUUGAAAGAGCA